rnacentral:rRNA from 1 species
GACGAACGCUGGCGGCGUGCUUAACACAUGCAAGUCGAACGCUGAAGCUCAGCUUUUGUUGGGGGGAUGAGUGGCGAACGGGUGAGUAACACGUGAGUAACCUGCCCCCUUCUUUGGGAUAACGCCCGGAAACGGGUGCUAAUACUGGAUAUUCACUGGUCUUCGCAUGGGGGUUGGUGGAAAGGGUUUUUCUGGUGGGGGAUGGGCUCGCGGCCUAUCAGCUUGUUGGUGGGGUGAUGGCCUACCAAGGCGUUGACGGGUAGCCGGCCUGAGAGGGUGACAGGUAACAUUGGGACUGAGAUACGGCCCAGACUCCUACGGGAGGCAGCAGUGGGGAAUAUUGCACAAUGGGCGCAAGCCUGAUGCAGCGACGCCGCGUGAGGGAUCGAGGCCUUCGGGUUGUGAACCUCUUUCGCUCAUGGUCAAGCCGCAACAAUGGUUGUGGUGAGGGUAGUGGGUAAAGAAGCGCCGGCUAACUACGUG